AAAUCCAACCAGUUGAGAGUGAGGCGGAGACUAGCGCCCCUGACCAAUCCCGUGGGUUAGAGGUGUGCUAAGCUAAGCCUGCCCAGCCAUAUACUUUGAUGAUGUCACUCUGCAUUAUAAAUAAGCGUCCCUGACAAGACACACACACUCUUCCUGAUUUUCCUGCACCAGUGCUCCUGUUCCAUUCAUCCUGAGGAGUCCACAUUACAACUACAAGGCCAAAGCAUUGCUGACCCUACUCCAGGGUCCAUUGCAAAACCCAAGCAUUGCUGAUCCUAUUCCCAGUAAGGACAUUGAUCCAGAAUCAACCCACUAAUUUCCCAUUAAAAAGGGGCAAACGGUGGUACCUUUGCAUCCUGAACCAGCCUGGCUUGCUGGCCACUAACUGCUGCCCACUAACUACAUGCCUGCUGCCAUCCAGCCAUCCAGCAGACCUUUAGUAUCCAGUCACCAGAAUUACCAUCCGGUGGCCCACCUUGCCCAGCAGUCUUUUGCCCAGCUGUCCUUUGCCAGGUGCACUACAGUGUGGUGACCAAAGCCUAUUGACGGUCCAGAAAUCCAAAAACUAAAAGUGGACUGUAAGUAUAAUUGCUACCCCAUAGAAAUCCUUAGCCUAUCUUGUCUUGCAUUUGUCCUUAUCCCACUCUCUAUGCCAUCCUACCCUGAUAACUGUCAGAAUUCUCUGUGUUCUUGCCCUUGAUCUCCAAGCGUUAGCGCCACUUUUCUCUUCAUUUCUGUCUUGCAUAGAUCAUAAAUCAUUAACAAUAUGAACAAUAUGGUGUUUAAGUAAAUUAAUUUUCCCUAAAGAAAAGGGGUACACUAUGUGAAGGGUUACAACUGCAGCAUAAGUUUUAUAUUCAUGUGUGGCGUUCCUCUUUUCUUAGCCAUUAAAUUUAGUUUAAGUAAAAUUUGCCUUUCACUUUUAAAACCGAUUUUCUCUUUUUCACUCUACCUUCCAAAUCCCUCUCAAUUCACCAGCUACCCCAUUCUUUCACUUCUGUAAUAUCCCUGUGAUGCACCUCUGUCCCUCAGACUAAAAACUGCAUCACGAUUUGCAAUAUUUCACCCGUUUUUUAAAGAAUCCGUUUGGGUAAAUUUACACAGAAAUUGAAAGGAAAUGCAACUUUUACACGUGUCAUUUGGCUGCAUUUCGUUUUAAACUUACCACUCAGUUUUCAAUUGUAUGUUCUUGGUAAUCCAUUGCUUGUGAUUGUUAGUAUCUUUGCAUUGUUGCUUUAGUGACGAAUUGUAUUUGCUUCAAAGUUUUUAACACACAUUCAUUAUUUAUUUGUCCAUUUCCGAGUGUCACAUUGCAAGGGGUUUAACUCUUACUUGGUGAGGGAAGGUCGGAUUUUGAUUACGUUUUCUGCCUCGUAUUCCUGAUUACCUGCUGUGUCUUUGUAUCCAUUCGGAAUUCAAUUAUUGGUGGGUAGAGGGAACAUUGCAGGGGGAAAUCCUAACUCGGGUGCUAUCUUUCCUAAAUCAAAUAGUGCUUCUGUUCCCUGGUGUUUUGCAUAUGUUCCACUAGAAAGUUAAAUCAAAUGCACUUCUUACAUUUUCACAGUAAUUAUCACCCCAUUGGUGAUUACUGCCCCAUAUAAAAAAUGGUAUGAUAUCUUUUGAAUUUUAAAAUAAAUAAAUAAAUAUUGCAUUUUACCAACCAGCCUGGUUCAUGGUCCAUUGUGACCUUUGAUAUUUGAAAAGGGGGUAUGAUAUGAGUUGUGUAACAUCUCAAACUGACUCUGCAUAAAAUAAGGAGAAAAGCAUCUCAGUUGUGCACUACAUACCAGGCCGAGACCAAGGUGUGUGUAGCCUGAUUGAAAUCCUCAACACUUGCUAUAAAGUAUUGAAGACAAUACAAUUUUAGCUUGGUUAAGACAAUAUUAGUUUAUUAUCAGGUACAAUGGUAUAUUACAAUUGGCUUAAGGUAGCCAAAUGCCUAGUCAUCUAAUUAGUGAUGUGCUUGAAUGGAUGAACAAGAUUCCCACUGUCCCUACCUACUAUCUAGCUAAACCACAGCCAAGGAAAUGGGGGUGUCAGAAUCAGCGGGGAAAGAAGACACGUUGAGCUUGACUCUAGUCUGGCACUGUGAAGAGACAUGAGAGGUGUAGGAUACGUGGGAGGCCCUCUACCACUACUCAUCAUUUUUUCACUUACCUGGUGUGGCAGGGGGGCGAGCCCCGUGGGGCUCUCGCUUCUGGCUCAAAGCGCCCGGUGUCCGGCGGGUGCGAACCACUGCGGGGAGAGUGGCAGGAGGAGAGUUUGACUGGGGCGCUACACCUGUCAAACAAUAACGCAGGUGUCCUAAGCCAAGCUCAGGGAGGAGAAAAACUCCCGCAGAGCAGAAGGGCAAAAGCUUGCUUGAUCUCGAUUUUCAGUAUGAAUAGAGACUGUGAAAGCAGGGCCUCACGAUCCUUCUGACUUUUUGGGUUUCAAGCAGGAGGUGUCAGAAAAGUUACUACAGGGAUAACUGGCUUGGCCAAGCCUUCAUAGCAACGUCGCUUUUUGAUCCUUCGAUGUCAGCUCUUCCUAUCAUUGUGAAGCAGAAUUCACCAAGCGUUGGAUUGUUCACCCACUAAUAGGGACGUGAGCUGGUUUAAGACUGUUGUGAGACAGGUUAGUUUUACCCUACUGAUGAUGUGUUGGUGCAAUAGUAAUCCUGCUCAGUAUGAGAGGAACCGCAGGUUCAGACAUUUGGUGUAUGUGCUUGGUUGAGGAGCCAAUGGGGCGAAGCUACCAUCUGUGGGAUUAUGACUGAAUGCCUCUAAGUCAGUAUCCUCCCUAAACUGUAACGAUACUGCAGCGCUGUGGAGCCUCGGUGGCCUAGGAUAGCCGGCCUCUGGGCCGGUGCAUAGAGCCGCUCGCCUUGACACUCGAGUGUGGACAGAAGGUGGCCACCUCUCUCUUCCGGAGUGCACUGC
rnacentral:rRNA from 1 species